AGUUGGAACAAUUGACGGUAAGUGUCUUGCCCAAAAAGACACAUACGUCCAGAAUAAUAGCAGCGACGAGUCUUGACCUCGUUAUCUUGGGGGGCUGGGCAGUUGUGGUAACGGCGUUGUAUGAAAGGGUAAAACCCGGUCAGUGCUGUUCCGAGAUCUAGAGCAACCGUUCGCGCGUAUUUUAGAGACGUUCGCGCUGUUCGAGCUGUUCGCGCGUAUUUUAGAGACACCACUUUUACGGUUCUAGUGAAAAAUCCUCCCCCCACCUUGUUCGCCAACCAUUAACCCCUAUAACCACUAACCAUCAACCACUAACACUUUCCACCAACCUAUUUUGCUUUGUACCGGAGGAUUCUUCCCUAGUGCGGAUGACUUAUACAAUUUCUUUUAUUGUUACUAGGAUAUAUUAGGUGACCAAUGUGUGUAUUUGGUUUUUACAAAACGUUAAAGAAGUUUAAUAAUUAUUGACAACUAUGGUGACCAUGAUUAUGGGUAAUAUCCACUGAUACACACUUGUAACAAACCCUGGAUUGGCAAACAAAAGGAGACAUCACGUUCGUUGCAAAUUCGGCAGAUGAACAACUGGUUGUAAAGCAUCAGCGAAUAUAGUGGAUAUCAUGGAAAGGUUGGUGAAUGCGUUCAGGAGAUGGAAAGUCUUGGAAUGGAGGGUGAAUGUUUUCAGAUGGGUGUGGGGUUGGUUUAGAGGAAAUAACAAUGCACUCAUGGACACUGGCGUCGAUUUAUAUGGUGCAGGGUAUGCAGGCCUACCCUGACAAUUUUGCAGGGGUUGCAGCAACCCCUGGAUUUUCAAAUUAUUAAAGGAAAUUAUUCUUAAACUCUUUUUAAAUAAAUAUAUUUAACUUUAUCAAACAAUUACUUUAUAGUAGUUACGCAACACCUUCAUUCUCCGCAUAAACUAGCCGUUUUUGUACCCUGCGCGGUUACCUAUAACGGCUGCGUGUUACGUCAGACAAGUGUUUACGUCACAUUAAUAA